UACAGAGGGGGCAAGCGUUAUUCGGAAUUAUUGGGCGUAAAGGGCGCGUAGGCGGCUUUGCAAGUGACGGGUGAAAUCCCACGGCUUAACCGUGGAACUGCCUGUCAGACUGCAUGGCUUGAGACCAGGAGAGGUGAGUGGAAUUCCCAGUGUAGCGGUGAAAUGCGUAGAUAUUGGGAGGAACACCAGUGGCGAAGGCGGCUCACUGGACUGGUACUGACGCUGCGGCGCGAAAGCGUGGGGAGCAAACAGG
rnacentral:rRNA from 1 species